rnacentral:rRNA from 1 species
UACGGAGGGUGCAAGCGUUAUCCGGAUUUAUUGGGCGUAAAGGGUCCGUAGGCGGCUCUGUAAGUCAGUGGUGAAAUCUCACAGCUUAACUGUGAAACUGCCAUUGAUACUGCAGGUCUUGAGUGUUAUUGAAGUAGCUGGAAUAAGUAGUGUAGCGGUGAAAUGCAUAGAUAUUACUUAGAACACCAAUGGCGAAGGCAGGUUACUAAGCAACAACUGACGCUGAUGGACGAAAGCGUGGGGAGCGAACAGG